rnacentral:rRNA from 1 species
GAUAGAAUUUUACAACCUUUAUCCGCCCGGGGACUACAAGCAUCAGCUUGAAACCCAAAGGACUUGGCGGUGCUUUAGAUCCACCUAGAGGAGCCUGUUCUAGAACCGAUAACCCCCGUUCAACCUCACCUCCCCUUGUUAAUUCCGCCUAUAUACCACCGUCGUCAGCUUACCCUGUGAGGGUCUAAUAGUAAGCUAAACUGGUACAGCCCUAAACGUCAGGUCGAGGUGUAGCGUAUGAGGAGGGAAGAAAUGGGCUACAUUCGCUACAAUUAGCGAACACGAAUGAUGUCCUGAAACGUACAUCUGAAGGAGGAUUUAGCAGUAAGUAGAAAAUAGAGUGUUC